UCAUUCUCUCAGGUUGCAGGGUAAAUUUUUGGUCUACAUCCGUUUGUCUGCAAGAAUUCUUACGAAAAUCAGCUUAAACCAGUACUAACUUCUUCAUGUCGAAGGCCUGCUGUGCGCUCUGCAUUUUGCUUUGCUAGCUACUCCUACACUCAGUUCCCGGAAAUAAAUCGAACAUUUAUACUCUGAAAAUAAAUUUCGGAGUGAGGUUGUCCGGGGUUCCAUAAGAGUCAGAAAUGGCAUCUCCCGUGGAUUUAGCGCGCUGGUCGACGAAAGUGUCAUUCGAUACGGGAAGUCCUGCUCCGCCGGCAAAGCGUCGUCACCGUCGUGGACGUCCACGGAAGGAUCCGCGUCAUCAGCAGACGAUAGCGCUAGUUCCCAGCAAAUCUGAUACGCCCGAUCCAGAGGAUGAUUGGGUGACCGAAAUGCCUGGCGAGGCCUCGAAUAUACCGCCGCCCAUGAGCCGUGGACGGUCGCGGCAGGAUCGGACCGUGGCGCAUCUUGGAACCAGUGAUAAAUGCAUGGUAAGGAGGGAAAGGAGAUCGAGGGCUGAUCGAGGGAAAGGAGAACGUCGGGGCGUCUCACGGGCAUCCGGUUCAAAUAUAAAAUCGAAGAAACCUCGUUUUAAGGGCGCCUGGGAGGUGAAGGAGCUGCUGGGGGAAAAGCGGUUUGAAGAUGAUGAUGAGGACUGGGAAACGGAACUGGGUUAUCAAUUCACGAAGGAGGAGAAAAUGUUCAUGCUCAGUGCGUCCGCCAGAUCGGGAGGUUCGUGAAACUUUCCAUUCCGGCAUUGUGUGCAAAGUUCAACGAAGCAACGAUGCGUUAUUGCACGGAAACUGGUCAAUGUACCAAUCAGUUAUUUAAAGCGCGCGACGGUGGACAUAGUUCAUCCGAUGAGGAUUUCCCAUAGUGUUUUAUCCUAGUGUUCUAUCUACGGAUUCGAGAAACCAAAGACUAUACGGGUACUAAAGAGUUUUAUUCUGCUUUACUAAGCGUACAGUAUUUACUUCUCAAAAAUGUUGUGUACGGCUAUCGUUUUUGUGUCCGCGCAGUGACAUUUGUAUCUUUUGCUUGUGCUGUGGUUUUUUUGUGAUCCUGGCAUUUUUGUCGGUUGUGCUUGUUUAUUCUACAGCUAAGGUUACUUCACACCUCGCUUAGAUCCUUAGGAUAAUGAAUUAAACUGAAAAAUCGAUAACGUUGUGCGGAUCGAUUUCCGGUUACGUGGUCACAGUACCAGUAUAAA